rnacentral:RNase_P_RNA from 1 species
CCAGACGGUUGGACGACCGCUGCCGCGCGUGCGUGGCGGAGGAAAGUCCGGGCUCCACGGGAGAACGGUGCCGGUUAACGACCGGCGGGGGCGACCCCAGGGACAGUGCCACAGAAAACAGACCGCCUUCCGGACCUGUUCGCAGGUUGGAGGUAAGGGUGAAACGGUGCGGUAAGAGCGCACCGCGCUUCCGGUAACGGCGGCGGCACGGCAAACCCCACCGGGAGCAAGACCGAAUAGGGACGACAGGCAGCCUGACUGCCGGGGGCUCUCCCGCCCUGUCGUCCGGGUUGGUCGCGUGAGGCACGUUGCAAGACGUGUCCCAGAGGAAUGGUCGUUACGGCUCCAUCAGGGGCCGACAGAACCCGGCUUACAGACCGUCUGGCUCC